rnacentral:tRNA from 1 species
GUUAAAAAAAUAAAUAUCUAAAUUUAAGUUUAUUAUUUACAAUGAUAAGAUGUUUUCAAAAAC